rnacentral:rRNA from 1 species
AACGAACGCUGGCGGCAGGCCUAACACAUGCAAGUCGAGCGGACCUUUCGGGGUCAGCGGCGGACGGGUGAGUAACGCGUGGGAAUAUGCCCUUCUCUACGGAAUAGUCCUGGGAAACUGGGUGUAAUACCGUAUACGCCCUUUGGGGGAAAGAUUUAUCGGGGAAGGAUUAGCCCGCGUUGGAUUAGGUAGUUGGUGGGGUAAUGGCCUACCAAGCCGACGAUCCAUAGCUGGUUUGAGAGGAUGAUCAGCCACACUGGGACUGAGACACGGCCCAGACUCCUACGGGAGGCAGCAGUGGGGAAUCUUAGACAAUGGGGGCAACCCUGAUCUAGCCAUGCCGCGUGAGUGAUGAAGGCCUUAGGGUUGUAAAGCUCUUUCAGCUGGGAAGAUAAUGACGGUACCAGCAGAAGAAGCCCCGGCUAACUCCGUG